GAGAUCAGUGUCUCCCUCUCCAGUUCUCCUCCUCAGGAAGCUGUAGAGAGCUAAAGUGAGGCACUUUCCCCUUACUUUUAAGCUUUUUUUCAGUGCUGUUUCUCUAAUACUUUUGCUCAGAAAAAUAAGUAUUAAGAUAUGCAACCUGCAAUUUAGAGGUGCACCAAAUCUUCUGUGCAAAUUAUGUAUGCUUUUUUUAUUAUAUCAUUCUGAAUAAAUGCAGCUGUUCCGGGAUGCCAUUGCUAGUUCCAAAAAUCAUUUCGCGGUCAUUAAUUUUCUUCAAUCCUUUAUCACCCACUCAGAGAAGUUUUCAGACCUUCAGUCAAGGAUGAGAAAAGGUGCCCUGGAGCGCAGGUAGCAGAGUUCUCAGCAGUAUGCUCUUAAGGGUCCUUCAGAGUCCAACCCCAAAGUUACUGAAGAGGAGAACCUAGACUACUGAAAGGAAAAGAAAGAAACUAUUCACUCCACGAAAAGACAUUUAUACAGUUUAACUUUAGUUUAGUUUAGUUCAGAAGAAAUAAAAAUUUGCAUGAAUGAAGUUAA